rnacentral:lncRNA from 1 species
UUUUUAUGUUGUCAAGCUAAGGAUGUGUAGGAUAUUUAAAUUUUGUAGAGGGGCAAAAAUGUUCAAAAAUGACAAUAUUACAAAGAUUUUGAAAAUGUAAAACCAAAAAUUGACAUUGAGCACAAUUUCCUCUAUUUUUAUUAUACACUGAUUGUUUGUCCCUUGUUUCUGGAAACAACCCUUUUCAAACUAAUUAAACGUAGAUGAUUUAAAAUCAAAUUUGUCAUUCACUCGAUUCACCAUUAGAUUUUACAAUAGUACCGUUUAGCACCCAUUUUUUUCAAAUUACAUUUUUAUCUCUCUUCUUUUCAACCACACAUUUUUUAUUGAAAUAAUAUUACACAUAAAUCAAAAACUUUUCCUUACUUUUCAACCACACAUUUUCGAUCAAUUUACUAUUCAAAAAUACAUUUUUACAUAAAAAUGUCUCCCAAACACCCUCUUAUUUUUAACUCAAAAUCUCCUAAAUUGGUUACUAUUUCUUGAUUCUACAUCCGUUGACCAUAGGUCCGGUUAUACGUCCUCCUUCUUAAAUCGUCUUUUGUUUUUGCGUUCUUUAGAGCCCAUGGGCUAAAUUGUAUUCCACCUCAACGAACAAAGAGACGUGGAAGGAGACGGAAAGCGCUUUUCAAGAUCGAGUUUGAUUUGUUUUGCAUCAAAAUAAAAAAAGAUUGAGGAUGAUUUGGCCGAUGUCUUAUAUAACAGAAAUAAGGUUUCGUUUGAUUGUAAGAAUGAAAUUUGUGUGGAAAAAAGAAAGAAUUUCAAAGAAUUGAAUUGUCUAAAACUUAUUUUACGAAGAAUUGUUGUUACACCCAAAAUUUUCAUAAAUUUUGAGGUGUCACAAAAAACUCGCUUUUGUUUGUUUUAAAUACGGA